rnacentral:rRNA from 1 species
UGCAGUCNGAGCGCGGGAAGCAGGCUGAUCCCUUCGGGGUGACGCCUGUGGAACGAGCGGCGGACGGGUGAGUAACACGUGGGCAACCUGCCUGUAAGACUGGGAUAACCCCGGGAAACCGGGGCUAAUACCGGAUAACACUUUUCAUUACAUGAUGAGAAGUUGAAAGGCGGCCUUUUGGCUGUCACUUACAGAUGGGCCCGCGGCGCAUUAGCUAGUUGGUGAGGUAACGGCUCACCAAGGCGACGAUGCGUAGCCGACCUGAGAGGGUGAUCGGCCACACUGGGACUGAGACACGGCCCAGACUCCUACGGGAGGCAGCAGUAGGGAAUCUUCCGCAAUGGACGAAAGUCUGACGGAGCAACGCCGCGUGAGUGAUGAAGGUCUUCGGAUCGUAAAACUCUGUUGUCAGGGAAGAACAAGUGCCGUUCAAACAGGGCGGCACCUUGACGGUACCUGACCAGAAAGCCCCGGCUAACUACGUGCCAGCAGCCGCGGUAAUACGUAGGGGGCAAGCGUUGUCCGGAAUUAUUGGGCGUAAAGCGCGCGCAGGCGGUCUUUUAAGUCUGAUGUGAAAGCCCACGGCUUAACCGUGGAGGGUCAUUGGAAACUGGAGGACUUGAGUGCAGAAGAGGAGAGUGGAAUUCCACGUGUAGCGGUGAAAUGCGUAGAGAUGUGGAGGAACACCAGUGGCGAAGGCGACUCUCUGGUCUGUAACUGACGCUGAGGCGCGAAAGCGUGGGGAGCGAACAGGAUUAGAUACCCUGGUAGUCCACGCCGUAAACGAUGAGUGCUAGGUGUUUAGGGGGUUUCCGCCCCUUAGUGCUGAAGUUAACGCAUUAAGCACUCCGCCUGGGGAGUACGGCCGCAAGGCUGAAACUCAAAAGAAUUGACGGGGGCCCGCACAAGCGGUGGAGCAUGUGGUUUAAUUCGAAGCAACGCGAAGAACCUUACCAGGUCUUGACAUCCUCUGACCGCUCCGGAGAUGGAGUUUUCCCUUCGGGGACAGAAUGACAGGUGGUGCAUGGUUGUCGUCAGCUCGUGUCG